rnacentral:rRNA from 1 species
UAGGUGUGGGGGACAUUCCACGUUUUCCGCGCCGUAGCUAACGCAUUAAGUGCCCCGCCUGGGGAGUACGGCCGCAAGGCUAAAACUCAAAGGAAUUGACGGGGGCCCGCACAAGCGGCGGAGCAUGCGGAUUAAUUCGAUGCAACGCGAAGAACCUUACCAAGGCUUGACAUACACCGGACCGCCCUAGAGAUAGGGUUUCCCUUCGGGGCUGGUGUACAGGUGGUGCAUGGUUGUCGUCAGCUCGUGUCGUGAGAUGUUGGGUUAAGUCCCGCAACGAGCGCAACCCUUGUCCUAUGUUGCCAGCACGUAAUGGUGGGGACUCAUGGGAGACUGCCGGGGUCAACUCGGAGGAAGGUGGGGAUGACGUCAAAUCAUCAUGCCCCUUAUGUCUUGGGCUUCACGCAUGCUACAAUGGCCGGUACAGUGGGUUGCGAUACUGUGAAGUGGAGCUAAUCCCUAAAAGCCGGUCUCAGUUCGGAUCGAAGUCUGCAACUCGACUUCGUGAAGUUGGAGUCGCUAGUAAUCGCAGAUCAGCAAUGCUGCGGUGAAUACGUUCCCGGGCCUUGUACACACCGCCCGUCAAGUCACGAAAGUUGGUAACACCCGAAGCCGGUGGCCCAACCCUUGUGGGGGGAGCCGUCGAAGGUGGGGCUG